AGGAUGAACGCUGGCGGUCUGCUUAACACAUGCAAGUCGAACGGAGUAGCAAUACUUAGUGGCGGACGGGUGAGUAACGCGUGAGAAUCUACCUUCAGGACGGAGACAACAGUUGGAAACGACUGCUAACCCCCGAUGUACCGAAAGGGCAAAUAUUUAUAGCCUGAAGAAGAGCUCGCGUCCGAUUAGCUAGUUGGAGAGGUAAAAGCUCACCAAGGCGACGAUCGGUAGCUGGUCUGAGAGGACGAUCAGCCACACUGGGACUGAGACACGGCCCAGACUCCUACGGGAGGCAGCAGUGGGGAAUUUUCCGCAAUGGAGGCAACUCUGACGGAGCAACGCCGCGUGCAGGAGGAAGGUUUUCGGAUCGUAAACUGCUUUUCUCGGGGACGAGCAAGGACGGUACCCGAGGAAGAAGCCCCGGCUAACUACGUGCCAGCAGCCGC
rnacentral:rRNA from 1 species